rnacentral:rRNA from 1 species
AUAGAGUUUGAUCCUGGCUCAGAUUGAACGCUGGCGGCAGGCCUAACACAUGCAAGUCGAGCGGAAACUAGUUAUCUGAACCUUCGGGGAACGAUAACGGCGUCGAGCGGCGGACGGGUGAGUAAUGCCUAGGAAAUUGCCCUGAUGUGGGGGAUAACCAUUGGAAACGAUGGCUAAUACCGCAUAAUACCUACGGGUCAAAGAGGGGGACCUUCGGGCCUCUCGCGUCAGGAUAUGCCUAGGUGGGAUUAGCUAGUUGGUGAGGUAAUGGCUCACCAAGGCGACGAUCCCUAGCUGGUCUGAGAGGAUGAUCAGCCACAUCUGGAACUGAGACACGGUCCAGACUCCUAGCGGGAGGCAGCACGUGGGGAAUAUUGCAUCAAUGGGCGCAA